AGUGAACGCUGGCGGUAGGCCUAACACAUGCAAGUCGAACGGCAACACAGUAAGAGCUUGCUCUUACGGGUGGCGAGUGGCGGACGGGUGAGGAAUACAUCGGAAUCUACUUUUUCGUGGGGGAUAACGUAGGGAAACUUACGCUAAUACCGCAUACGACCUACGGGUGAAAGCAGGGGAUCUUCGGACCUUGCGCGAUUGAAUGAGCCGAUGUCGGAUUAGCUAGUUGGCGGGGUAAAGGCCCACCAAGGCGACGAUCCGUAGCUGGUCUGAGAGGAUGAUCAGCCACACUGGAACUGAGACACGGUCCAGACUCCUACGGGAGGCAGCGGUGGGGAAUAUUGGGCAAAGGGCGCAAGCCUGAUCCAGCCAUACCGCGUGGGUGAAGAAGGCCUUCGGGUUGUAAAGCCCUUUUGUUGGGAAAGAAAAGCAGCAGGUUAAUACCCCGCUGUUCUGACGGUACCCAAAGAAUAAGCACCGGCUAACUUCGUG
rnacentral:rRNA from 1 species